AAUUUCCUAUUAAAAUUUUUCAUUACUUUUGUGAAAUUCUGUUCCACAUCGUAAGGGUUGUCGUCCACUUGUUUUGAACUAUAUAUUUAUCUCCACACACUGACACACUUGAACUCAUAUUUUUAAGAUUCUUCAAAGAUAAUUGUUUUAAUAUUUUCUUUUGUUACCUUCCCAAUAUUUUGUUUUGUUACCUUCUCAAAUUGCUUGCUUGUGUGGAAGGAAAGUUUUGUUUUAUACUCUUACAGCUCAGCAAUGGUGACGUGUGCAGAUUUGUGCCCUUAUCCUACUCAGGAAUCUAUGGCAUUUGCUGAUAAGGGAUGUUGUGUGUUCUCUGAUCAGGCUCUGGAUGCUGAAAGUUGUUCGCCUACUUGAAGCCAUCUGUUUCUGCAGGAGGUUCAAUAGAGAAACUAAUCUUAAUGUCUUAGAGCCGUAAGAAUUGCCAGCACUUGUAAGUCAUUAUGUGUGACACAGAACUUUCUGUCUGUAGUUUUGGAAUGUUAUGAUGUACAGGUAUCUCCCCAGCUCUUGAAGUUUUAUACUGAUUGUUUUAGGGAAGACAGUAUAGAAUCAGUUGAGCAAAUUGUUAUAUUUGGAAGGAGCAAAAGUUGGGGGAAGUGGUUUUGACGAUUGAGGCAGAGAAAUUAGGUCUCUGUGAGAUACCUAUACUUGGAUGAUAAUACUCGAUAUGUUGCAUGCAUUUUUCCUAUUUUCAGCUCUGCCAUUCUGCAAGAGAUAUGAAACUUGUGCAUGAUAGAGAAUGCCAUUCUGUAACCCUGAGACGUUGGAAGAGAGCACAGCUCUUUUAUUUUUUUUUUUUUUUCUGGAGGCCAUUUUGUUGCAAGUUGUUUGAAAGUCUUCAUAACUUUUUUAUGGUGUGUUGGUACUUGGUCACUGCAAAAGAUCACAGAAAACACAAGGUGCACCUUUUGUAAUGGAUUGAGUAGAAAAGCGCACACGCGCGUGUACAUUAAGUGAUGAUGAUUAUAUUACUGGAACGUUUCAAGAUGAAUCCCUGUCAUGGGGCAAGGUGCAUUGUCUCCACUGGUAUCGUCCAGUUUAAAGCCAGACAUUGGCCAUGUCUCGAGAAUAGUGGAACAUGAAGGCAGUAUCUUGUAUCAUUCAGCAGGCAUUAAUAUCGAGGUGAACCAGGAACUAAGAUCACAGAUUACUGAAAACUUAGGAAUUAUUCUGAAGGAAAUUUCUGGAAUACUAAAUGAUGAUAUUUGGAAUGAUUGGGUUAAUAUUUUUGACAGUUGACAAACAGGUCUUGACAUAUGUCAGUUGAAUACCUUGAAGUGUUGCAGUUCUGUUUAUUAUUAGCAGUCAGUCUUUAGUUAAUCGUUGUUUAUAAAUUAACUCCAAAAUUACUGUGGCUUAGAAAAUAUGAGGCUUCUAAAAUGCUUGGCUGACUUGUUGGGGUAUCGUGUAGCUAAUGUUGGCUGCUUUUGUUUCAGUAUUUUCACUAAAGUUUGAAGGUACUGGAUUUUCCCAUGUGUUAUAUGGUGAGGGAGAAGGGAAAUUGGAUUCUGCGUAGGUAUGCUGUGGUGCAUCGGAUGCUUCUUCGUUCCGUCUGCCUCUUGCUGACGCAGCGCCAAGUUUCCUGCGCUUGGAUCAGAAGCUGUGUGCUGAAUGAGGAUGUGCAGAACAUGAUCCCUCCAUAGUGUGUAUGAGUUGAAAUGUAGUCCAUUCUGCGAUGGCACUGUUGUGUGUUGGUCUAGUUGAGUAAGAACUAGGAAUACUUGGUAGUGUUUAUCACUAAGAAUUGCAAUCAGUUCCUAUACUCUCUGCUUUAGAACUGGUUUUGAAUAGUAGAAUAUGGAUUGAAACUUGAUCAGCCAGAUUUCUUUCUCACAUGGUGAUGUUUAGUCAUUUGUGUGUAUGAAUAAUGCACGAGACAUUGGCUGCUCUAGGUGCAUGACCUUAUGGUGUUCUAAAGUUUGUGCCUCUGGGUUUUUGGCCAUCUGCCUUUUUUUUUUAGGUUGUUUCCGGUAUAAUAAUCAGUUGAUUUAUUGGAAAUCUGGAUUCAUAGUUGGGAUGGGAGAGGGGCUGGAGAUAUUGGUUUCCUUUUCCCUGCAGAUCUGACUGAAGCUACAUGGUGCAGUCAGUGUAAAAGUAAAAAAGUAAACCUAUCCCCUGUAACAGGCCAUGAAGGCCCAUAGGGUUGUGAGAGAUUGAGGGUCCCAGAUUUGUUUUAUAACAUGCAAGGCUGUUGCAUGUUAAGAAAUAAUUUUUGCCAACCCUGUUUAGGUUUAGUGUUUUGUUGUAAUUCUAGAGAACUUGUGAUUUUUAUGUAUAUAUUUGAGUUCACUGAAUUUUAUUUCCAUUAUCAGGUUUACACCUGUUGUUUGGAUGGGAAAAGGUUUUAUUUUUGUUUUCUACAGGCUUUGGAGUAGCAAAUCUACAGAUAAAACAGCUCUUGGUCUGCAAAAUGAAAAGAGAAAUAUUGGCACCAUGUACAGUAUAUUGGAGAUCUGCGGUGUCAUUUUCAAUAUGUUGUGGAAGUGACGUCAUUUGACACGCAUUGAGCAAGCAGCCAAGUCGCAGUAUCACUUCAUCUGUGGUGCUGUGUUUGUUGUAUUUCAAGUGUAAGUCUGCAUUCUGAAGGCAGUAGAGGACUGGAUUGUUAGAAAUAUAUGUAUUGAACAUUUCUCCUGUAAAUUGGUGAGGAAAGGCCUGACAGCAAGAUUACACUUGUACAAGAGGUAAAUUGAAGUGUGUUCCUGGGAUGCGGCUUUUUGCAUAAGUGUGUUAUCGUACCUGUUUUAAAUAGAAGUUUUAGAAGUGGUGUUAUUGUGAUUUGUGAGAUUCCUAAUCAUAAUUGCUGAUGUUGAAAAGGCAGGUGCUCUCUGAGUUUUUCUGUUGCUCAGCUUUCUUCUAGUUAGGCCACAGGUGGCCAGCAUUGAGUCGGUUGGUGCUGCAUCGGACCUGACGACUCGGUAUGGAGUAAGGCAGCUGGAGAAGAGUAAGUACUCUUAUUUGAAAGCUGUUGUGUUUGUAAUAAGGGGCCUAGUCAUGUGUAUGGAAAAUAAUGGCUUGUUUAUAAUCCUUAUGAUGAGGUCUGCAUGUUCUCUGGGAGCCGUAACACUCUGGAAUGUAUACAUUGACAUGACUGGUGCAUGAAGCUGACUACUGCCCUUAGAUUUGGUGUGGUGCUUAAGCAAGCACAAGGACAACUUUCCUGCAUUCUGGAGUCGAUGAUGUGAUCUGCAGGUAUAUAAAAUAAUCAGUAUUGGUACUGCGUUAAAUUGACAUGCGAACAAGUUUCUUCCAAAUCUUAGAAGACUGGAAAUUUUUCUGUGAAUUGAAGUAUGAAUCCUGUUCUUUUGCUCAAGCCUGUUGUGGUUAUUGUCCUUCCUCUAGACUGUAUGUUAUGCGUAACAUCCACAUGCAAGGGAAGACAACACGACGUGCUAGGUGGAAAAUGAUAACCGAUACGGUGGGCUUAUGCACACAGAAAUAAAAUGCAAACACCCAGGCAACUACAGUAUAACAAAUCCAGAGAGAGUGAUAAUGAAAUUUAUUGUUUAGACAAGUUGUCAAUGGCAGUAGUAGAGGUGUAAAAAGAAAUUUACAAAAUUGUAACAAAUUUUAAAUUUCAGUGUAAAUUUGCAGCUUAUGGAAUUUUAACUAGUGUAAAUGGGUUAUUGAUUGUAACUUCCAGUAUUUUCAGCCAUGAAAUAAUUGCAGUUACAUGUGAUGUAAUUGGACAUACUUUACAGUGGAACAGUUUUGUCAUAGCUGAGACAGCUGAAGAUGGCCGUUUGCAUUGUGUGUGAGAGGUAUAUUAAUUCAACAGGAUGCUUAAAUACAGUACCGAAUAUCGGUAAGUUUGAAGAUUCUUGAACAGAAACAGGGUUUUCUCAGGGAAUUAGUUUUUAAUUUGUAACGUCUAAUCAGUCUGUCUCUUUAAACAUUCUUUGUUUUAUGUUAUUUUCAAAUGUGCCUUACAAACACUGAAGAUGUUUUCCAAAAUAAGAAUUUCAGGGGGUGUAUUGUCUGGCUAUAAGGGGUGAUGAGGAGGCCGGUUAUAUCUUUGGUAUUUAGUGUAUAUAGUAUAAUAAUAGUAUUUUGGUAUUGGGCUCUGAAGUUAUGUUUCAAAUUGUCACAGUAAUAUCCUGUUGCUGAGUGCAGUUCUCGAUUAAUACUUGUAUUUUUGUUGUGAAAUGCAGUGUACAUCCAUAAAGAAUAUGAAAAAGUGAAAUGUUGAAAUAUAAAAUUUUCACCCUUCUCCUGUUCUGCAUGACAUGCUAGUGUGUGAUAGCAUAGAUAUAUUUGAAUUCGGAUCCUGCUUUAUAGAAGGGACAGUGCCCUUGUAGUAACUUCACUACUUCAGGUGAAUGUAGACUGCCCCCCAUAUUCAGUAUAUUUUCAUAUGUUCCAGGUGAAAAGAAACUGCUUCAUGAAGUGGGACUGUUCAGUUUUCCUUGAUUUCACUAAGAAUGGGAAGCCAAUUUGUUACUUGAAUAGUAAUGGUCAGCUGCUCGUGAAGUUACAAAUCUCUUACAAUAAAACUUAUUUGAGAAAAAAUGUCUCUCAUUAUAUAAGGAUGUAAUGGUCCCUCAUUCUUGUGGCAGAUUGUUCAUGGCCUGAAGGAGAUGUAUGGAAGAUAUUUUACUUUAUCAUAACAAAGUGUGAAGUCACUCUGUAU